rnacentral:rRNA from 1 species
CUACGGAGGGUGCAAGCGUUAAUCGGAAUUACUGGGCGUAAAGGGUGCGUAGGCGGCUUGAUAAGUCGGAUGUGAAAGCCCCGGGCUUAACCUGGGAAUUGCAUUCGAUACUGUCAGGCUAGAGUAUGUCAGAGGUUGGCGGAAUUCCUAGUGUAGCGGUGAAAUGCGUAGCUAUCAGGAGGAACACCAGUGGCGAAGGCGGCUAACUGGGGCAAUACUGACGCUGAGGCACGAAAGCGUGGGGAGCAAACAGGAUUAGAAACCCUAGUAGUCC